GCUUCCUUAGCUCAGCUGGCUAGAGCAACUGACUCUUAAUCAGUGGGUCAAGGGUUCGAGUACGUGAGGCGCCACCA
rnacentral:tRNA from 1 species